UCAAUCUUUGAUAUCAUGAACGUAUUUGAAAUUGAAAUUUUAGGAGUAUCUAAAAAUAACUGCAUCCUGUUUCCUCAUCUACUCAUACAUCUGAUUUCCCAUCUAUUUGUAAGAUUUGCUGCAUACUGUUCCUUUCAAUAUGAAAUUUUAAGGCUUCGCUUCAAUGAAUAGAGAGUGUGACAUACAUGUAUAUCGUAGAGCCCAAGACUAAUGUCGGGUAUGAACACAAACAUUGAACCGAAUGCAUCAAACGAAAUAGCAAAAGUUCAUAUGAGUGACAGAGAGUAGAUCUGUUCUGGGCUGACUUAUGAGUGACGGAGUCUCAUAUGGAAUAGCUUGAAAGUUCCCCAUGCAAUUAUAUUUCAGCAUCUUGGAAUUACUUCAGAGUAUGGAAACACAAGUAAAUGAUAAACCAAUGAUGGUAUUUAAGUUGGAUCUUGACACGUUCCUAUGAAUGUACACUACAAGAAAAAUGGGAUUCGUUCAUAUGGUGAUGGCCGAUGUCGUGGCCAAAACUUUUGGGGACGACUUUAGUCGUGACCAAACCCUUUUUUUCUUGUAGAGGUAUUCAUUCUUUCACCCAUGUAUAUGCUGAAUUUCGAAAGUGCGAAUGAUAUAUGGAGCUUAUCAUUACUUUUACUUGUCAUAAA